rnacentral:rRNA from 1 species
GACGAACUGUCCUAACGUUGUUCGGAAUCACUGGGCUUAAAGGGCGCGUAGGUGGCUUCUUAAGCGUGCGGUGAAAGCCUGGGGCUCAACCCCGGGUCGGCCGUGCGAACUGGGGGGCUGGAGCACUGUAGAGGCAGGCGGAAUUCCGGGUGUAGCGGUGGAAUGCGUAGAGAUCCGGAAGAACACCGGUGGCGAAGGCGGCCUGCUGGGCAGUUGCUGACACUGAGGCGCGACAGCGUGGGGAGCAAACAGG